rnacentral:rRNA from 1 species
CCAAGGAGUUUAGCGUGUGCGCGAGUCAUUGGGUGUAAAAACCUAAAGGCGAAAUGAAAGUGAAGGAAACUCCGCUUUCCGAGGGAGGAUGGGUUAGGUCCCUCUCCAGGGCCGGCCUCGCACUCCCGGGGGCGUCUCCACCUCAUUGCGAGAGGAGGCGCACCUAGAGCGUACACGCUGAUACCCGAAAGAUGGUGAACUAUGCCUGGCCAGGACGAAGCCAGGGGAAACCCUGGUGGAGGUCCGCAGCGAUUCUGACGUGCAAAUCGAUCGUCGGAGCUGGGUUUAGGGGCGAAAGACCAAUCGAACCAUCUAGUAGCUGGUUCCCUCUGAAGUUUCCCUCAGGAUAGCUUGCGCUCGGAUGAAACGAGUCUCAUCCGGUAGAGCGAAUGAUUAGAGGCCUUGGGGUCGAAACGACCUCAACCUAUUCUCAAACUCCAAAUAGAUGAGAACCCCGGCUUUCUUGAACCCUGUUUAUGAAGCCGGGGGCUCGGAUCAGAGUGCCAAGUGGGCCAAUUUU